AACAUCGCGCACCUGCGGGAACCUGCGGAGGGAUCAUUACCGAGUUUACAACUCCCAAACCCCUGUGAACAUACCUAUACGUUGCCUCGGCGGAUCAGCCCGCGCCCUGUAAAACGGGACGGCCCGCCCGAGGACCCUAAACUCUGUUUUUAGUGGAACUUCUGAGUAAAACAAACAAAUAAAUCAAAACUUUUAGCAACGGAUCU
rnacentral:misc_RNA from 1 species